UACGUAGGGGGCGAGCGUUGUCCGGAUUUAUUGGGCGUAAAGAGCGUGUAGGCGGUCUGUCAAGUCCGGUGUGAAAUAUCACGGCUCAACCGUGAAAUUGCAUUGGAAACUGUCAGGCUAGAGUCUGGAUGAGGAGAAUGGAAUUCCUGGUGUAGCGGUGAAAUGCGCAGAUAUCAGGAGGAACACCGGUGGCGAAGGCGGUUCUCUGGGACAGUACUGACGCUGAGACGCGAAAGCGUGGGGAG
rnacentral:rRNA from 1 species